rnacentral:lncRNA from 1 species
GGAAGGUAGCUAAGGCCCGUUAUAUCAGUACAGAUGUAACUAUUGAUUGACUGGUUCCAAACACUACUUGUGUUUUCCUUGUCAGAGCAGUAAACAGCCAUGGAAAAAUAGGGACCCAGUCCACUGGAAAGGUCACAAUGUGGUACCAACAAUUACCCUCCCAGUAGCUGAGAUAGAAGAAAGAUUACUUGACAUUCAGAUGCCCGUGCUGCGAGGAGAAGUUGUCAACUCCAGCACUAUCAGAUUAAGUUGGAUGGUGAUUACAGAAAGCUGCGACAGGGUUCAUGAGUCACCUACUGGCCAUUUUUCCCAAAAUCACAAGGAAAGCUAUGAAUAUUAUGAAAUAUGUGUAAUGGCCUCCAAUGGGACACUUACAUCUUCAUGCAGUAAACCAAUAAAGACAAAGACUGGUG